rnacentral:lncRNA from 1 species
UGGAGUUAUAAAAAUUAUAGCGUCUAUUGGAAAAGUCUAGCAGCGCAGUCAAUCAUGUCUAAUCGUGAAGUUAAUUAUCUCCGAUAAUCUUCUAGUGACAUUAUACCACUUUAAGAAAAGUCCUAAAUUUUGAUUCCCUGAGAAACAUGAAGAUGAGCAAAGGUUCUCACUUUAACAUGGGUUCUUCAACUCUUCGGUUCUCGGGCUUUUUACUUGCUAGCCACUGAAGUCUGGACUGGUUCCAAAGAAGAUAGCCUGCAAUCAGCAGACUGUCAACAUAGCAAACACAACUUUAAAAGUCCCUAUUCAUGCAAGUUGGAAACAAACUCGAACGUAGAUGAAAAUGGCUACUGAUUUUUUUUUUUUAACCGUGGCAUUAGGGCCAGCUUGCCCUCACCUCGACUAAUUCCACGGGAUACCUGCUACCAGCAAUUGGUACAAGGUAACUUUGAAAAUGGCUAGUUUUCUUAUAUAUAUAUAUAUAUAUAUAUAUAUAUAUAUAUAUAUAUAUAUAUAUAUAUAUAUAUAUAUAUAUAUAUAUAUAUAUAUAUAUAUAUAUAUAAAGGAAGAAAAGGGAAAUCUAGUCAUUGCAAUGAACUUGCCUUGAUUUACGAAUUC